rnacentral:misc_RNA from 1 species
GAACGGUCGCUGCGGACGGCGCGGAUAUUUUGAUUUCGGACCAUAUAUGGGAUAUAUGGGACCGUGGGUAUGAUAUCUCUAUAUAUCUUAUGUUUUCCACAGACUUUCUGGCCUUGGACUUUACCGUGACUGUUUUCGGAAUGAGUACCUAACCAAGGUGGACAGUAAAGCACCAAAAUUAGGGAAAAAUGGUGAAUACUACUGGUAAUUCCGAACCUACAACGCCACAAGCAGCAGCAAAUGUUGAUCGAAGGCGCAUCACCCGAGAAGUGGGCAGGACUGCACGGCCGAGCGGCGGCCCCUGCCCCAGUGUUCGCUGCGAUAACUUGGAGACGGACAAUGAUCGCGCAGAAACGCCGCCGCCGCUCCGCGGCAGCGGCGUGCAGCUGGCCCGGGACGGCGUGCCGGCCGCUGACUCUAGCCAGAUGAGACUACCCAGUCGCUCCCGGCCCAGUAUAGAGAACUGCGGCUUCGCCCGCGCCAUGAUGAAACAGAUGCCCUCCAAAAUGGCCCUGUCCGCCAGCGGUAUCGCCAACCUGGGGUACGGCCGCUCGGCGCCGGACGUUACCAUGACAGGAGCCGGCCUGGGCACAUCGUCCACCAGCUUCUUCCGCGCCACACCCUCCCUCAUCAGGUACGAGAAGGACGUGGCGAGGCUCGCCGAAAUCAUUGAGGCGGAAGUGAGGGCGCAGAAGAACUCAAUGUUCAUCGAGGACCGGAAAAUCACGCGGCUGCGGGAGCUCCCCGUCAGUCUGACGGUGAAGCGCAAGGUCCGCCAGCGGCUGGAGACUAACCUGAUGGAACGGAAGGCGCUCGUCAAGCAGACGCGACUGAUGCGCUGGAGCGCAGACGCCGGCCGCGCCCUCGUGCUGACCAAACGGUACAUGGCCGAGGCCCACGGUCUCGUUCACAUCUGGCACGAGCAGAUGAAGACGAUCGAGGGCAACUUUGGCCAGAACGUCGGCCUCUACUUCCGCUUCAUGCGCUGGCUGCUGAUCGUCAACAUGGAGGUCCUCCUCAUCAGUUUCCUGUUCCUGGUGGUGCCCCAGCUGGUGAUGACCAUCUACGAUCCCGAGGCCGCCCGUCGCAGCGCUCUCGGACUCCCGGAUCCGAUCCAUGCGCGAAUGGAGAUGGAGAACAGAACGAUACCGAACCUGCACUUCUUCCUGAGUAACCUGCUUACCGGACAGGGGUGGCUGUACUCGACGCCCAUGUACUACGGCUACUACUACCGCGACUCGAUCCGGACGUCGUCCUACACGCACUACCACAUGCCGUCCGCCUACCUAGCCAUCACCACCUUCUGCAUCACCUACCAGCUGAUGAAGCUGGCCACCAGCACGGCGCGCUCCUACCGUAAGAACUUUAUCGACGUGUCCACCGACACCAGCGGCAACGUGGCCAACCUGAUCUUCGCCGGGUGGGACGCUCGCGUCACAUCCCAGGAGCUGGCCGAGCUGAAACGCACCGGACUCUACCAGGCAUUCCAGCGGAAGCUCAAGAAGAAGGAGGAGCUGCACGCGGCCGAGCAGGCUGCUGCGGCCGGGGAAGACCCGGCGGCGGCCGCCCAGCGCCGGCGUGCUCAGCUGUACACGGUGCUGGGCCGGCUGGCCAGCAACCUGCUGGUGGUGGCCGUGCUGGGCGCCGUGGCCGUGCUCACCUGGAACGUCAUGGGCAUGGACGCGACGCUGGGCCCGGACGGCAGCUUCAUCUCCCUCCUGGGCUCCGCCAUCAUGAUCAGCGCCUCCAUGGCGCUCUUCCCAAUGCUCUUCCAGUUCCUCGGCAUGCUGGAGAACUUCAAACACCCCCGAGCGCUCAUGUUCAUCACGUUGAUCAGGAUGGUGGUGAUGGCCAUCAUCAUCCUGGGCACCAUCGUGAUCUACUGGGUGCAGCAGGUCAACAACCGCUCCACCGAUACUGACUCGGGCGCCCGGGACGAGUGUUGGGAGAAUGAGGUGGGAUCGGAGCUGUACCAGCUGAUGAUCGUCGACCUGUUCUUCAUGUUCGUCUUCGAGCUGGGACUCGAGUUCGCCAGAAAAGUGGCACACGAGCACGGUCUCUGGGUGGAGGAGCCGCACUUUGACAUCCCACGGAACACCAUGUUCCUGAUCUACAGUCAGACACUGGUGUGGACGGGCGCCUACUUCAGUCCGCUGCUGUCGCUCGUGGGAUCCGCCAAACUCGCCAUCAUGUUCUACGUUCGAAAGUGGUCCAUGUUCCGUCACUGCACGCCCCAGUCGCGCUCCGUGAGGGCCUCCCAGACGCAGACCCUGUUCAGAAUGGUGGCCUUCAUCGUGUGCUUUCUGGCCGCCUGCUUCACCGGCUACAUCGUCACCAAUGUGCGUCCGUCGGCUACCUGCGGUCCGUUCCAGCAGAAAUCACUGCCCUCCGUAGUCGUCAACGAUACUUUCACAAGAUGGAAGGACGAGGGUCACACGGCGCCCUACACCAUGGCUAUGUACUCUAGCCGACCGGGCGUGGUGGCUGUGUGGCUGCUCAUCUUCAGUGUUGUGGCCUACUACCUGCGCUCUCUGGCGCUGGCCCGUCAGGAGAUGAUUGUCCUGCUGCGCGGACAGCUAGUGCUGGAGGGACAGGAUAAGGUCAUGCUGCUGCAGCUCAUCGACGAGGCCGCCACGCGACUGCAGGGGAUGCGUCGUAUCAACCGUCCCGGCCUGCCAGACGUCGAGGAAGAGGACGAUGACCAGCAAGUACUCCCCGUGGACGACCCGCGCGCCAUCAUCAAGGUGCUCUUCGAGCCGGCUAAAGAUGAUGAACCGGAACCGGAGGCCCAGCCGCCGCCGCCGCCGCCGCCCCCGCCAUCCCCGCACUCACUCUCAGCAUAAACCGAUACCUCCGCCGCGCGGCAGCGGCCGCUGAGCUGGCCGAGGCGCGGUUGGCGGUGGAGCAGGCGGGAAAAUCGCCGCCGCGCCUCUCCGUGGUGCGCCGCACACCGUUCCCGCUGGGUACGACCGGCACGGGCGGCCCCAGCAGCCAGAUACGGCGACCCAGCAAGGUCACAAAGGCGGACGAGAAACGCCAGGCUGCAACCUCAGCAGCUAAAUACUGGUCGCGGCACGCCCAGGAUGACGAAAAGCCACCUCAAAAAUGAACGGACACCGGGCGCCGGAGCUGUGUUGAACGGCGCCAUGGGAGGAAAUGUUCGAGACAAUCGACCUUUGUUUAUUGAUGGCGGUGCGUGUGUCACAUGUUGGAUUCCCAGCGCUUUAUAAGUACAUGCAUCGUUCGCUGUAUAAAAUGUAUAAUAAAAUAAUAUGUCGUAGUGUCAUA